AUGUAGAAGACAGAAGUAGCUCAGGGUCCUGGGGGAAUGGAGGGCAUCCAAGCCCGUCCAGGAACUACGGAGAUGGGGCUCCCUAUGACCACAUGACCAGCAGGGACCUUGGGUCACAUGACAAUCUCUCUCCACCUUUUGUCAAUUCCAGAAUACAAAGUAAAACAGAAAGGGGCUCAUACUCAUCUUAUGGGAGAGAAUCAAACUUACAGGGUUGUCACCAGGUAAGUGCAACUCUUGGUUGGGGAAGAAGGGAGAAGCUGAACCUGGGAGAUGAGCGUGUUUUGCAAAUUCCAUUUUGCAUUUUCCACCGUGAUUCUAAAAUGCCCGGAGAGGGGCUGCUGAUGACUGUCUUCAAGUAACAAAAUAAUUCAGAGAUGAAAACUAAUAAACUGCUCAUCUUUAGGUCUCUGCCGGAUCAGAACUUCAUCCACUGGCUUGUUUUUAUUUUUUACUCCAUUAUCCGGUACCAGUGGCACUGUUUGCAAACCAGCAACGUCGGUGAUAGUGGGUCUAUCAAAAGAGUUUAUUUGCAAUUAAGAAGUUAAGAAUUUCUUACACAGGAAAUGCUAUGUGGAAUCAUGUGUCAGACCCUGGGUUCGGGUGGCUGUUGCCCUAAAUUGCAGUUUUCAUAGGGGCUGUACGAUGUUGUGUGAAAACAGGGUGGUAUUGAGGGAUAAAAAUGUCUGUGAAAAUAUGAUUUGUUGUCCCUUUUUGUUUCUGAAUUGUUCUUGGCUGGAAGUCAAGGCCAGCAGGCUAACAGCAAAGCGUCUCAAGGGAGGCAUGCGUGAGCUAGAAAAAUAAGAGUACUUUAAUUAAAUAAUAAAAUGCCAGUGUAAUACAAAGGUAUAGCAUGUGUGUUUGUGCCUCUGUGCACUCUGCAUUUGUGUACUUUUAACGCUCGGAAGAGAGAACCUAUUUCUCUAAAAAUACUACUCAUAGGCAAAAGUAAAAGCUUUAUUUCAAGGCAAUCGAAAUUUUAUAGACUUUUCUUUUUUAUUUCCAUCUCAGUAUUAAUCAUGUAUUUAAACCAUUUCUUUAAAAUUGUACUUUCUUUUUAGGAGAACACUGGUCUCUUACUUUGGAAAACUUGAUAAGAUUUAAUAAGAUCCUUUAAUAUACAAAGCUGUUUAGGAAUAGUACAUGUGCAUGCAUUGUUUUUAUGCUGGAAAAGGGAUGCUUACUCUUUUGAACUCUAUCACCCUCCCAGUUUCUUUAAUGAUAUGGGGGGAAAAAUCCAUUGGAGAUUUAAAAAAAAAAAAAUUACCUGUUUAAUACAUGCCUGAAAAAUGUAAGCACACAUGCACUCUCUUAACGAACCAGAGCGUGGUUCCGCCAUCUAUCAUGAAAGGUGGAAUUCUGGUGGGGUGGUGUCUUAGUUUUUUCCCCCCCCUGUAUACAUUUGCAUUUUUAAAGUUGACGACUUUGGCCCAGUUGCCAAUUUAGUCACAUUCGGCACCUAAAAGAUUUGUUGCGAUGAGGUGAACAGUACUUGGUUCGGAACUCCUGCCGGAGUGCAGUUCAUGGCAGUUUGUUUGGAAAGAAUUCUGCAGGAAAGAAAUUUACAGCCAUUCCAGCAGAACGGAAGCAUCUUUGGAAUGUGAGUGCACAUGUUCGGGGCAGAUAGCCUAGCCGACGAGCCUGCCGGUGCUGGGUCUCUGGUGUAAAGCUCUCAAUUCCUGCUGGAGAGCCGAGAGCUGGUUCCUGUGGCUCUGGUUUCUGAGGGUCAAGGCGGAGGUCACUGGGGUUUGGGGGAGAAGAAAGUUGACUACAUCCUUCCUUUGCGCAGAUGGUCAUGGCAGAGGUCUCUGUUUUUGCUGGGCCCCUCUUGCUGGUCAUUGAGAGAAUAGGCUUCCUCGCCCCUGUAUCCUUUCUUACUAAUAGGAAUUGGCGUGAUUCCUCACAGACACAAAGAUUUCCUCUGCUGAGUAAGCGUGAGGCCCCUUAACUUGUGAAAGCAUCAUCCAGACCGUGUGAGUCUGCCUGUGCGUGCAGUACA